GUGAUUUAAGCCGGCAAAACUGACCACUGAUGAAUGCCGUGGCCGUA
rnacentral:snoRNA from 1 species